AAUGUAUAUAACCAUUUGCCUUACGACCUACGAAAUUCAGCUUCUCAGAGGGAGGUGUUCCGUGCCUGCCACUGGGGGCCGUGAUCUGACGGCACGCCGAUCAAUAACGAUGGAUUUUCUAUUUCGCUACGGAAAACAGGGCUCUCUCUGGGUCACAGUGAAAUCGCCUCCAACUCCACUGCUUAGACUCCGUCACCCACUGAGACCAAAGAUUUGGGGCAACCAAGAAGCAACGUGCUCCAAGUCACAAGACAUCAGCUGGAUUCGGCGAGUAACAGCCCGAAUUUCCCAACUUCUAUUCCAGCACGACAGAAAAUGCCCUUUCUACAUCAGAGAAAGUGCCAAGGGGAUUUCCAGUUUGUAAUCUUUAGAUUGGAUUACUGCUACUCAAGUUGAGACAACCACAGAGGGAGUCUGCGUCUGACACAGUUUGUAAGUUUUCAGCAUAUCCAGCACUGUUAUCGAAGCAUGAAGCCUUGCUCACCCUAUUAACGACAUCCCUAAGUUUAGGCCUCUGGCUCCUAUCCUCUUGAAGCCUAAGAAGCUCCCUAAAACGGCGUCAGUGACUAACCGAGUCCCGGUGGAAAAGUGCCAGACACUUCGAAAGUAAUUAGGGUGAAUCGAGAUAUCCAGAGAUGCUCCGAUAAACCGGCGUGAAACACCUAUCUCAGAUUGCACAUGGAAAGUUUUGUGUCUGCGGAAAAUUCACUUCUAACAUUACUGCACUGAGCAAAUCAGUCAACGGUAUUUACUGGAUGCUUAUUGCGUCCAAAGCAACGUACCAAGCCCUUGCGGGAGUACAACAGAGUUGGUAGACUAAGCCCACUAGAGGCUUACAUUCCAGAGGGAAACAGACAUUAAACUCAAUUACGGAUAUGUACUUAAGUGCUGGGAGGCUGAGAAUGGAGUGAAAAUCCAAAAGCAAAAGGAGGUUUUCUGAAAUAAACUUCUUCAUUGGUGGGAGGGUGGAGGCGGGGCGAGGAUGGAAGGGGACAGAAAGCUUGAACCGGACACAAUCAUUUCCCGACAACUAAAACUAAAACCUUUACACUAACGGCAGUUUAUCUGACAAAUAUGAUGAGCCUUUCCCAAACCUUAGGUCGAAAUGAUUUUCUGGAAUGUCCUCCAUGGACACGGCUUCCUUUUUUGCUCAUCCUUAAAUGACUUAGGUGUUUCUAGACCAGAGACUAUACAUAAGUCGAUAUCUAAUCGCACCACAUUUAAGUGGCAAGGGAAGAUCACGAAAGUCGCUUCUUUUUCUAAGCGAAGCCAAAAGGGAUGAAAUCAUAGUUUUGCUUUAACUCCUGACUGCUCGAUUUCUAGCUCCCAAACAACUUCAUUCCAAAGACCUCAAGCCCUUGAGUUUCAAGACAAAAGGUUAUUCUCUUCCUAUCUUGUUUUCUUCGUCCUCUGCCACCUUCAACCUCUUGGCGGGCCCCAAAAUCUCUACUAAAGCUCGUUAAGAGGUGGUCCUUGGAAACACCCGGGGAGUGGAGAGGAAUUCCGGAGUCCUACCAACGAGAAGCGGAGCAUGUGAAGUCAGAGAUAAAAAUAAACACCAACUAGCCGAGCGCUCGCAAACCAG
rnacentral:lncRNA from 1 species